CUCUUAUCAAGAGAGGUGGAGGGAAAUGGCCCAAUGAAACCCGGCAACCGGUGCAUGUGCAUUAAGGUGCCAAUUCCUGCAGUUUCCUGCAAGAUAAGAG
rnacentral:ncRNA from 2 species